GCAUUAGUGGGGUAGUGGUAACCUGGGUCGUUGCCAUUUCAUAUCAAUGGUCUUUAUUCGACCCGCCGGGAGUUCGAUUCUCUCCUAAUGCA